GACAGAGCUGCCAUUAGAUGGAAACCAAUUUAUAUUUUACACGAAGACCAUUUUUUAAAACAUAUUCAAAACAUACAUGCAUGGAUUGAUAAGAACAUUUACAGCUACACAUAGCUAAUAUGAUCCCUCAAACGUCCGCAGACGCGCCCGGUCGCUAAUUGGGCGCGUACAUUUUAAACCCUCAUAUUUGCCUCCAAACAUCCAAGUAUCUUAAAUUUGUCUCCUCAGCUUUUAGUCAUUUCAACAAACACCUUGUAUGCGAGCACUUAGAACAACAACGGCGGAGCAGCGGUGUCAGCAUGCGCACACCAGUGACGGCGCGCUCCGGCGGCGGCCGCGCCCGUGGCUUCGCUCCCCGGCGGCCAACGCCGGGCACCCGCACCCGGCGGCAGCAUGUCCUGAGUCCGUGCC
rnacentral:lncRNA from 1 species